AGGAUCUGAGGUCUGAAAUCUAUGUGUUUUCUAGACUGUUUGAAAUUCAUGGCAGUGCUGGCAUGAGUCUUGAAGUGGAGCGCCUUCAGAUUGAAAGAAGAGUGAAGUUAUUUUAUGAAAUGUCACUGUGUGAUACCCUUCCAAAUCUGGAAAACUUCUUUGUACUUUACCUAACUAUACCAGUUACCUACAGCAUCAUCAGAGAAAAGCUUUUCUUCAUUGGGGCAGCUGAAAACUUACCUGGGGACUACAAUGACAGAUGCUCAUGUUUCUAACCUGGGAAUACUACAGACUGAAAAACAAGCUAUCAAUGUACCUGACAUCAUUGCACAGUUUGCCAGCAGAAAGGACCAAUGCCUACAAUUCUUCUAACAAGGUAUUUUGCCCACCCCCACAGUGAUGCAGAUGAAGAGCAUGAAGAGAAGAAAGAAGCACAAAGCUAAGUACACAUUCUUUAUUUGGUUUGGCUUGUGGGAUGUUCCUGAAUAUACCUGUGAUUUUUUUGUUUGUUUGUUUUGUUUUCCUUGUGAUUCCUUGAUUGAUUUGCCCACUGCCUGUGAUGAAAAUGAAGGUCUCAAUAGAGCUUUCCAGGGCACAAAGCUCUUUAUUCAGUUUGGUUUGAAUUUGAUUUGUGAGUGUGACUCUACAAGCAUUGCCAGGACCCUGAAGUCCAACUACCUGGAGGCCAGGGUUCCUGCUAGUGGACCCGUGGUCCACCCAUAGAAGCAACAGCAAAGUAGUCAGGGAGAGCCAGGGGAAUACCUGUGUUCACCUGACCCGACUCACAAAUCUUUGCCUCAUGCAGAUAGGAUGACUUAUGUGAAUGCCUUGAUAUGUUGCUGUUACUCAGUUUAUUGUUACAGAAGUAUAGAAGUGGAUAUGGGGUUUUUGGCCUGCCCACAAAUUGUGCCCCCCCCCCCCCCCCGAGUCUCAGAAGACACCAGUUGCCCAUGCAGAUGCUGACAAUUAUAUUCCAUCCCAUCUUUAUUAUAUACUUGGAUAUCCCUCCACUCUGGUCACUCUGGCAUUGGAGAGACAAGAAAAUGAGAUCAAAAGAGAGGCUCAAGAGAGAUGUCUGGAGUGGUCUAACUGAUGCAUUUCUGGGUUUGGAGCCUGCAAGUGGGAACAGGCAGCAGCAGUGUCGAUGGCGGUGGUGCGGCGGCGGCGAGCGGGGAGCUCCUGCAGGCAGCCAUGGUGGGGCCAAGCUGAGCAGGGAGCUCCUACAGGCAGCUGCAGCAGUGUUGGCAGCGGGAGGAAGAGUGGCAAGUAUCGACCAGUGAGACCUUAGCAACCACUCAGCUACCUUUGUACUUUAAAGAUCUUCAGUUCCUGAGUUCUCUCCCCAAGAACAUACCCCGUGAGCUUCAAAAUAUUCAUUUUAUUUUCUUCAAACAUGAUUAAAAUGCUGACACUUUUCCCCUGAGAAGACAGAGAAGCUUUAGUCUACACUUUUGCUUUUAUUGCCUCUAGUCUGGACUACUGAACUUCACUUUUUUUAGGAGUUUCAGUUGGAUCUAAUAAUAGAUCCCACAAAGCAGCUGCAAGAUUUGCUAAGC